CUCCUUGGCUUGGAAGGUCUUUGCACCUGCGCUGCCCUGGCGAGCACCUGCCGGCUACCUCGCCCGCGAGAGCAGGUUCAGGCGUGGGCUUUCAUCUACGCAGCCAGGCAGAAGUGAAAUGCGCCCUCCCCGGGGACCUCGCUUCCCCCGAUUCCUCCACGCAGCUGGAGAUCAAGGAGCUGAAGGUCAAGGGAAUAACAUGUGUCAAGUCAAGUGGCCCUGAAAUAGCAUGAACAAGAAGAGGUUUGAGAAAAAAAUCAGAAGAGGAGUUUUCUGAAAGUGUGGAGACAAGGAAAUGGGACUUGGCUGGUGGUAGACGGAUGACCUCCUCAGCUCAUGACUGGCAUAGUUCUCUUUGGACUAGAUUCUCUUUCUUCAGCUUUCUCUCUAUGGCCAUGGGCAACACCUUCUAUUACUGGGACAAAUACACUGUCUGUGAAAGAAAGGCCUU